GACGGGGGGGGCAAGUGUUCUUCGGAAUGACUGGGCGUAAAGCGCGCGUAGGUGGUUCAGCAAGUUGGAUGUGAAAUCCCCGGGCUCAACCUGGGAACUGCAUCCAAAACUACUGAGCUAGAGUACGGUAGAGGGUGGUGGAAUUUCCUGUGUAGCGGUGAAAUGCGUAGAUAUAGGAAGGAACACCAGUGGCGAAGGCGACCACCUGGACUGAUACUGACACUGAGGUGCGAAAGCGUGGGGAGCAAACAGGAUUAGAUACCCCAGUAGUCC
rnacentral:rRNA from 2 species